UUGGCCAGCAUCACUUGGAGUCCGCAGACACAGCGCUGAUUGAAGGAGCGGAGGGGAGCUCAUUUUCAGAGCGCGUGAUUGUGUUACAGGGGGCUUCACUCUAGACUGUCACCGGUCAGAGAGACAGAGAGAGAGAGAAAGUGAAAGCAUCUCUACCACGCCUUUAAAAGUAGACAACAAAGACGAAGAAGCAGAGUAUGUGGGAUUCUUGUCAAACUGACCUUGCUUGAGUGUGAGGAAAAAGUAUCUUCUUGUUUUGGGGAGGAGAGGACUCUCUCGUGGAGCCUAGCGGCGUUUCUCUGUGCGUAAAAAUAAAAGUUUAACACAACAAGGGGGAUCAUUGGAGAGGAGUGGGAGAUCGGUAAACUCUAUUACACUCAUCGGAAUUGUUAAGCUCACACUGGACGCCCACUGGAGGAGACUAUUUAACUUUUGAGCACAUUUUUGUGUGUGGUGUGACACGGACACCGGGAGCGGAGCGAUCCUCUUCGCUGAGCCGGGAGGAGUGCGCGCUGCGCCGGGUAGCAGACUGACCCACAGGACGGCAACCUCGGAGACAAGGUUAUGACGGAGCUGAGCUGAACAUGGAGCCUUUCUGGAUUUUGUUAUUCUCUAGUUUCUGUCCUCUCGCCUGGGGCCAAGGAGUUUACGCUCCAGCCAACGCCCAGAUCGUGCAUUCAGGCGCUGCGUGUAACGUCAAGGAUGAUAACAUCAGCGAGAGGAUCUACACCAUCAGAGAAGGAGACACACUAGUGCUUCAGUGUAUUGUCAAAGGACAUCCACGACCACAGGUGCGAUGGACGAAAACGGCAGGCAGUGCAUCGGACAAAUUCCAGGAAACAUCCAUCUACAACGAGACGCUUCGCAUCGAGGGCAUCCAGAGGGUGCAAGGGGGUCGCUACUACUGCAAGGCCGACAACGGGGUGGGGGUGGCUGCCAUCAAGUCCAUCCGCGUAGAUGUGCAGUACCUUGAUACACCAGUUCUGACGGUACACCAGACCAUCAGCGAUGUGCGCGGCAGUUACUAUCAGGAGAAGACAGUGUUUCUGCGCUGCACUGUCAACUCCAACCCUCCUGCACGGUUCAUCUGGAAACGUGGGAGCAUGCUCAUCGAACAGAGCAAGGACAACGGAGUGGACAUCUAUGAGCCGCUUUACACUCAGGGUGAGACCAAGGUGCUGAAGCUGAAAAACCUCAGACCGAAGGACUUUGCUGAUUAUACGUGCCAGGUGUCUGUCCGCAACGUGUGUAACAUUGAGGACAAGUCGGUCACAUUCAGGCUUACUAAUGCAACAUCUGCCCCAAUGAUCCGACUGUCGGUGAACGACACGGUGGUGGUGGAUCCAGGACAGGAUGUUGUGAUAACCUGUGAGAUAACAUUAGGUUUCCCUGCCCCCACUGUGAUGUGGUCACGUUACCCGGGCCCUCUUCCUCUCAGCGCACAAGUUCGAGGACCAACGCUAAUUCUACGUGCCGUCACGCCAUCUGAUGCAGGUUUCUACAACUGCACAGCAGUGAACAAUGUGGGCAACCCUGCUCGGAAGAACGUCAAUCUCGUCGUCAGGACGAUGUCCAACCUGACCUUCCAGAUCACACCGGACUCCAACAAGGACAGCGAGACCAUCCAGAUGGGUCGAGACCUCAAGCUGUCGUGCCACGUCGAUGCCACCCCACAGGACAAGGUCAACUAUACCUGGUACAAGAACGGCGCACCCGUCUACAACUCGGACAGCCUGAUCUUGUUACGCAGUGACCCAGACAUGGCGCCAGGCACCAGCAGCUUAGAGAUCGUGGACAUGAAGUUCAGAGACUUGGCUACCUACAGCUGUGUGGCAAACUUCCCAGGCAGCAGGGUGCCUGAGCUCCGGGUGGAUGUCAACAUCUCACAGAACAGUGUCUCCCCCCCAGUGCUCUCAGUUCCACCAGGAGGCCAGGUGGUCAGUAUGAGAGAGGGAGGAAACGUUGACCUUGUGUGCUUGAUAGCGGAUGGCAAACCACGCCCUCCUAUACUCUGGUCGCGGACAGAAAAGGACCUGCUGAUGCCAUCAGGGCAGUCUGUGGUGGAGACCCCAGAUGGUCGCUUGAGGCUGAAAAACAUCAGCAGGGACAUGAUGGGGCUUUACCGGUGCCAGACUGCACCAUACAAUGGCCUCAACAUUAAACGCAGAGAGGCACAGGUUCAGCUCAAUGUGCUGUAUCCCCCCAUUCUGGACCCGGUCUUCCAGGAUGUGCGUUCAAGAAACUAUCAGUUGGUAACUCUGAGGUGUAAUGUUCUGCGGUCAAACCCUCCACGCCUAACAGACAUACGCUGGUACCGUUAUGGUGACCCCAUGCGUAUGCCAAUGCCAGAUCUGAAGGAGACUCCUGAGCUCAAGUUCAAGCUAGAGCCCACCAACAAUGGAACUUAUGAGUGCCGAGUCAGCAACAGCGCGGGAACAUCGACAUGCACAUUUAAUGUCUCAGCACGACCCUACAAUGCAGAGUUCUACUUCGACACACCAAACCCUGUUCGGAUCCUAAAGGGAAACAACUACUCCUACAACCUGCAGUGGACGCAAAAAGAUCCAGAGGCCACUGACAGAAUCAUAGGAUACUGGAUCAAUGUCCGAAAGAACAAGCAGAAUCUCCUGUCCAAGCAGAUAGACCUGAAAGGAAAGGAGCCAGAGAAAGGUGUUCUGCUGUCCUACACCAUAUCUGACCUGAGGAUCCCUCUGUCCUACGAGGUCCGCCUGGCUCCCAUUACCACCUACAGCACUGGGGAUUACAUCAGUCGGAUUAUUCAGUACUCAGAACCCUACACCUAUCCCAGACCUUCAGAUCAUGUGUGUGGUUUUGAGGAUGAGCGGAUCUGCGGUUUCACUCAAGACCGUAGUGAUGUCUUCGACUGGACGAGGCAGAAUCACCUGACGCAGAAUCCCAAGCGAUCUGCCAACACUGGCCCUGAGUAUGACCGCAGUGGAACCAAGGAGGGGUACUACAUGUACAUUGAAGCAUCACGGCCGCGUGUUCAGGGAGACAAGGCUCGUCUGCUUUCUCCUCUCUACAAUGUGACUUCAGUCAGGGGCCCGAAAGGUUCCGGCAGGGUCCCAUACUGUGUCUCCUUCUACUACCACAUGAAGGGGAAGCAUAUCGGUACUCUCAAUGUGCUCCUGAGGGUGAGAAGCAUCGCCUCUGUGGACACGAUGCUGUGGACGAAGUCUGGUCAUCAGGGCCUCGACUGGAGGAAAGCAUUCUUUGAUAUCAGCCCAAGUGGACCCUUCCAGAUCGUGUUUGAAGGAAUUCGAGGUCCAAGUUUCGAGGGGGACAUCGCCCUCGAUGACGUGUCCAUCACCAUAGGGAAGUGCAAGCAGGAGAACACUGUAGCCAGCGCAGGUAAGACAGUGCGCCAUGAAGUUUCCGCUGGCAGUGUGGGAAAAAAAUCAGCGAACUUCACCCAAACUCAUCCAAGUCUCCAUCCACUGACAGACUGUGCUCCCACUUAGGCUAAUGAGGCUUGACCCAGGUGUUAUCAUUAAAGCUUACUCCAGGACUCCACAGUCUGGGACCAACUAAGAUAAAUGCUUAGUUGUUGGACAUACACAGAAAAAGGAAUUGCUGGUGACAGCAGAAGUCUGGACAACUGGCUGUCUCUAAAUAGCCAAUAGAUUUCAAGACUGCAACAUCAUUUAAAAGAGAACCUGUAGAGCCAAUUACAGGAUACAUUAUCCACAAGAGGUCAGGUUAGGUAUGGGAGCAUGUGCCAAUUCAGCUCUUCACCACAUCAACCUUGGUCCUAUACUGCUCUGGCCUCCUGAUGGUCAUCCCCCAGGCCUGUGCCAGGCCUAUGCCUCAUCUCUCCAGGUGUCCUCCCAGGAGUCUCCACUGUCUGGACCAGCUCACCAGGUCCAGGGCACCCAGUUUGCAGUGUGCUGCAUCAGGCCUAAGAAAGCGCACCAGGUGCCCGUAUAAGGGCAACUUCCCUUCCCAUAUCAAGCAGACCCUUUUCGUCCCAGCUCUCCUGAGCAUGUCAGCAUUAGACACAUGGUCUUGCCAAGGAUACCCAAAGAUGUGUCAAAGAGAAGUUGUCACAAAGGAGUCCAGUUGAUACCUCUGGCCAUCAGUUAAUGUCCAGGCCUCUCAGGAGUAUAGUAAGACCGAAAGAACUAAAGACCAAAAGACUCUGACUUUAGUCUGCGUGCUCACCUAGCUGGAACGCCCCAUUGACUUGCUCAGCAAACUUACUGCCCCAUGCGCAAGUCCACGUCUGUGGUUGAUCUCGGCCUCACAGUCAGUGGAUCAAUGGAUUACGCCGCCAAGGUAGGUUAACUGCUCUACAACUUCCACGCUCUCACCCUUCACAGAGACAGAUUUGAUGGCAGCCUCCAAACAUCACCAAAUGUCUGGAUCUUUGUUUUAGCCCAGGAGACGCUCAUCCCCAACACUUCACCUCCUCCCUCAGCAAGAUAAGAGCCUCUACAAGGACAUCUACUUUCUCCGCGAGAAUCAAAGCAUCAGCAAAGUCUAGAUCAGUGUUCUGGACAUUUUGAAAUGACAGCCCAUUAUCCAGUCCGUACAGGUACCAAAGAGCGUAGGGGCUAAAAUGCACCCCUGCCUCACCUCAGAAUCAACUGGGAAGAAGUCAGGGGUUGAGCCACCACACUUCAUGGCACUCUGUAGCAGAAUAAAGAGAAACCAAAUUGGCCAGACUUCUCUUCACAUAUAGAUUUGACUACAGCUAAGUCCUCCAGAGUCUGAGUUUUAAGAGCUGCAUCCAUAGCAACUGUCUGAUCUUCAAUGUUAGGGUUCGUUCUCCUUAAAAACAACGUGCUACUGAGAGGUAGCAGACAUUUUUAUGUAAUUCAGUGAGCAAUUUUUAAUGGAAGUAAGAUUCUUUGGCAUAAGUAUGGCAAUCAGACUUUCAUUGCCAUCUAUGGAUGUGUCAUUGGCAAACACACUUAUGGCAAAUGGUUCAUUACUGGUAGCAACUUCAUCAAUAUUGAACUAACUUGGUCCCAUGAAUGUUUUAAGCAAAGUCAACAUGACUGUGAGUCGACAAGACUGUAAUAUGCUCACCUAGUAUAUAAAUUGCUUCUUCAUUGUUGCUGACCAUCUUAUAGGUCAUUCUAUCUCUGGAUAGAUAGAACACAGCUGCUUGAUACUGUAGCUGUUCAUGCUCAGAGAGGGCACAGUGAUGUAAUGGAGGAACAUAUGAGUGUUUUCCCUUCCUACUAAAAGCACCACAAACAUUUCCAAACGCAGGAGAUUCUGAAGAUGUAUCUCUCGCUGUGAGAGGUGGAUUUACCCUCCACUAAACCCUUGAGUGGAUGUUAAUGUGGCGAGAACUGGUAUUGUGAAAUCAGGGUGUUAUGGAGUAUUUCUUUAGUACAGGAAAUUCAUCCACCACAGUCUGUAGUAACAGUGAUAAAUCCCAGAGAUCUGGGACUUUCUCAUAGAUGACAGUGACAAAUACCUACUGCUAUUUUUCUUCUUCUUUCCAUCCAUACUUUUAAUCUGGGGCCCAUUGUUCUAAAUUUACCUCAGAAACUGGAAUCUUUGAGAACUGGGUUACUAGUCCACAUGGAUUUUGUCCAGGUCUACUUUAGAGUCUCAGAUAAAUCAAAUCUGUGUUUGACAAAAUAAUUGUAUCACAGUUAGAGUUAAACAGACAACAAUGGAAAACGUCAGUCUCAGUGAAGGACAUGAAGUAUCUGCUCGGAGAGCAAGUUUGAGGGUAACUUUAGAUGGUCACCUUUCCCUAUCUCUAAAAUCACUGACAGUGGUAAAUUAUACACUAGCUUAUUCAACAAUUCAAAAUAAUCUCAGGUUUAGAAAAGUCAACAUUUCUGUUUAAGGUGUGAAUGGUAUCAUUUGGAGCAAUGUCAUUCCCAGUGCAGGCUAUACAUACAUAUAUAGAGUACAGCACAUUAAGAGCCAAGGUCAGCAUUGUUUAGUAUGUAUGAGAGGUUUCUAUUUGGCCCUACUAUAAUGUUAUGAACAGCUAUUAUGCUAGUGUUUGCAUGGACAGCAUCUUCUUAUUCCACCUUAUUUAUGAAGGAUGUAUGAGCUGAUAAUGUGCUGCUAUAUCCUCACAAAGAUUCUUUUUAUUUAACAGCAACCAUAUGAUGGAAUGUGACACUCAUUUCUGACAUUUCAAGCUGUAAUUAACUAUACUGGUGUGUUUAUAAUUUUACAACUUUGCGUGCUGUGC